GUUAAUGGAAAAAUAUUAGAGGAUACGUUGCUGUAGUUCAUGAUAUAGCAGUUCAUAAUAGGGAAGUUAGGGAGUUAAUGCAAUGUACUGAUACCCUAAAUGGCAUUGAUAAAAAGGCAGGAAAGUGGACAUCCAUUCACUUUAGGACUUCUUGUCACUCGCAAUGACUAUACUGUGCUUGUGUGUAGUAGGAGGAGUAAACACCUUGCUUGCUGGUCACUAUGGCUGAUAGGACUGCAAACUUUGACGUCUCUAGUUGUGUUGGUAGAGGGAGGAGUGUGGACUGCGAUGCUGGAUUAACCUUUGCAUUGCUGAGGGGGUUGGGCAGCCCCAGCACACCUCCAGAAUGGAGGCAGGGAAAGCAGUACAUCAAAGGAGACAUGGGCUGCAUACUGUUCUACAGCAACAUGCAGGAUUCAGCUGCCAAUCCC